GCUCAGCGCCUUAAGCCCCUCCCCCGCUCCACGGCGAAGUCUCCUACCAGUGCCGCGCUUCACGGUCAUGGGUGCUGCCGGCUCACGCGCGCUCUCCAGCCUUGGCCUCCCCGCGCCCGCGCGGCCCGCGUGGAUCGGCGUCGCGGUGCUGGGGCUGGCGGCGGUGGCGCUGGGAGCGGUGGCCUGGCGCACACGACCCCGGCGACGGCGGCAGAGGCAGCAGGUGGGCACCGUGGCUCAGCUUUGGGUCUACCCGAUCAAGUCCUGCAAGGGAGUGGCGGUGCCCGAGGCCGAGGUGACGGCGCUGGGGCUGCGCGUGGGACACCUGCGCGACAGGUUUUGGAUGGUCGUCAAGGAGGAUGGACACAUGGUCACCGCUCGGCAGGAGCCACGCCUUGUGCUGGUCUCCAUCACCUCAAAGGACAGGUCCCUGGUGCUCCAGGCGCCCGGCAUGGACCCGCUGGUGUUGCCUUGCAAGCUGCCUUCCUCAAACAAGCUCCUCGACUGCAGGCUGUUUGGCCUUGACAUCAAAGGCAGGGACUGUGGUGAUGAGGUGGCACGGUGGUUCACCAGCUUCCUGAAGACGGAAGCCUACAGGCUGGUACAGUACGAGACCAGCAUGAAGGGGCGCACGUCCAAGGAGAUCUUCUCCAAUGCACCGGACUUCGGGUACCAGGUGCCCUACCCCGACUGCAGUCCUGUCCUGCUCCACACGGAGGCCUCGCUGGUUGACCUGAACACCAGGCUGGAGAAGAAGGUGAAGAUGGAGAACUUCCGGCCCAACAUCGUGGUGACUGGCUGCGGUGCCUUCGAGGAGGACUCCUGGGAGGACCUUGUCAUCGGUGACGUUGAGAUAAAGAGGGUGAUGUCUUGCCCCAGGUGCAACUUGACCACCGUGGACCCCGACACAGGUGUCAUUGACCGGAAGGAGCCGCUGCAGACCUUGAAGAGGUUGGACACCGGGUGCCCUGUGAUCUUAGUGCCGUCUGUGUGGGUCCAGGGCUGUGGUGCCUAGGACCAGCUGCCCAGGGAGGGCACCCCGAAUCUGCUCAGGGGCUCACGUGACCUCAGUUUAUGGGACUGAGCAUUGGCCCAGCUCCACCUUGCUGCUUCUUUCUUGACUAGCUACCGCCUGUGCGACCCCUCCAUGAAGCAUUUAUACCAGUCGUCCCCGCUCUUUGGGGUCUACUUUACGGUGGAAAAGAUUGGAGUCCUGCGAGUUGGGGACCCCGUGUACCAGCUGGUGGACUGAGCGGCCCCCCCAGGCUGACCUGAGCGAGUGUCCAUGAGGCAUGGAUGAGGAUCUUAACAGCUGCAAGGUCACCUUGAGAAGUCUACUACCAGCCUCCAACCGACUUCUUCAACUGGAAAUGAGUCUCACUUCUGGCUCUUCAGAGUUACCUGGGCUACAAAUUAAUGCGAGGAAGGUCUUUGACGUGAUUGGGAACAUGAAGGUGUAUAAAUUCUGAUAAAGGCUCUUUAGAUCAACAAAAUUAUAAAAUCAUCGCAAAUGUGAUUGUGGCUGUUACACUUUUUCAAUCCCUGAUUAAUGCUGGUGAGUAAAGGAAGGCUGAAGAGUUGGCCGUAAAGCUGUGAUUUAAAAAGAAGGACACUUUAUUUCCUGCUGUCCAUUGUUUUAGGUCCUUGCUGCCUGACCGCUUGUCAAGCUCACAGGUCCAGUGGCCCUGGUCCCAGCUGGCUACCGAGCUCUCCUUCUGUUCCCAGCCUGUGUCACCGGGUUGGCGUGGGGCUUGAGGGUGGCCUUGCCUUAUAAACUCUUUUAUAUUUGAUUUUGCCUCUGAUGUGCCAUAAGAAAUCAUGUGUCUGUUGAUAUGUUACCUGGAAGUCCCAAGUGAGAAAAAGCAAAGAAUGGAAUUUGUCCUUUUUUGGUAUGGGGGAUCAAACUCAUGAUUUUGUGCUUGUUAGGCAGGUACUUGUGCCACUGAGCUAAAUCCCAUUCCAAAGAAGAGAAUUUAAAAGGGAUGCAUUUAAGGAAGAAGAGCAAGAAAACAUGAAUGUAUUUUUAGAUGCAUUUUUAAAAAUAAGAGAAAUGAACUCUUCAAAUGAUUAAGCAAAAAUACUCGCUGCACUAAUAGGUGAAUGGAUUAACCCACUUACCACUUUAUGGUUUGCUUUUAAUAAACAUGGCUGUCAUCACUA